AAAUUUGCCUCACGUUGCUCUGUCAUUUGGCUUCAAGGUGCCUCCUUUUGUUGAUCUGAACGUGAACAGCAAUGAAGGCAAGCUGAAGAAGAGAGGAGGCGGCGGCGGGUUCGGCUACCAGAAGCCCAAGAAAGUGGAGAAGUCCAAAAUCUUCAAGCACAUUAGCAAGAAGUCUUCCGACGGCAGGCAGUUCUCUCACUGAAGACAUCCUUCCACCUUCGGGGCUUAGUCCUGAGAGGAGUGGUUUUUCUUGCUCUAACAAGGACUUGUGACUGUAGGAUUGGGACUGAUCUAACAAGAGUGUAAAUUGGCAAGGAGUGCAAGCAAUGAGCACUAUUUCCAGCAAGUCUUGUUUAUGUUGAGUCAUAAAACAAAAACAAGUUCAUUUUGUCUUGAUUUCCCAAGGACAGCGCAAAGGGGUGUUUUUGGUCUUUGUUGUGAUUAAAGGGUAUUUUGAGGUUAAGUUUUGUUUUUUUUAAUCUCAUCUGUCAUUGUUUUAAUUCUUUUUGUACCUUUUCUUCUGGUGUCUGAAUAUUUUUUCGACAUGAAUUGGUAUAGCAACCUGCUGAAACGGGCAGGUCACCCAGUACACUGGAGGCAGUUUGGGGUGACAGUGCAGGAAACUGUCUGGGUUUUUUGUUUUGUUGUUUCUUAGACCUUAACGGUAGUUCCUGAUCCCUCCUGAAAAUGCUGCCGUGUGAAAGGACAGAGAGCUUUUGGAAGUACCUAAGAAGCACCUUCAACUAAAGGUGGCAGGGUUUUUAUAUACGCCAGAUUUUAUAAUGGCCUUUCCCCGUUUUGAUUCAAGAACAAGAAACAUGAGGUGUUGUGCUUUGAGUAAAAUGCCGGUUUGGAGUUGGAGGAGAGCUGAGAUUUCUGGCCUCAUUUACACCGAUGCAGGUGUGGUGUCUGCUGCUCCAUGUGGUGAUUAGCAAAGACCUUUUAAAACAAAUGGGGACAAAGUGACGACACCCGCCUUGUUUCCGGUGGGGCUUGUUUGGGGUUUAGUGAGCUCUUCCAACUCGACUCCUUAGCAGGUAAAGCAUCUUUUGGAGAAAAAAAAUUGCUUUUUCCAGAUCCAUGAAAUAUGAGCAGGGUCAGAAAGGGCAGGAGUUUAGUCACAUGUGGUUUUCUGCUGUGGGACUCCUGAUCUGUGUUUUAUGUUUUAUUUCUACUGUGCUCCAUAACUGCAACUGGUUAUUCCAAUUUAAAACCAAAGUUGCUGGCAUCGCUUGCUGUUGUGCCUGUUGAUAUUGUAGACUCUUGUGAAAUACAAGGACACUGAGAACGUCAGAUGGAGAGGAAACCGCUGGAUGGAGAGCAUCCCGGAGGGACCGGGAGGGAUGGGAUCUUGCGGCUGCCUGGCCACUGUCAUGUCAGGGCCUGCGCAGGUGCAGACCUGGAUUGCUGGACUCCUGACAUUUAACAACUGCUUCUCUACCCAGUAACUUGUUUUUCUUUUUUUCAGAAAUAAUCACGUUUCAAAAAUAUAUACAAAGCAAAGGGAAGAAUAUUUAAUCACUGAACAGAAAUAAAGACUGAAUAUUUUGUUAUAUAUCCUUCCAGUGUUUUAUAUACAUUAAAUGUUUUUAUCAAAAGUGAAAUUCUCUACCCACUAUUUGUGAACAGCUUAUUUUAUAACGUUAUUUUCCCAUGUCAUUAAAUAAUUACAUCA